rnacentral:rRNA from 1 species
GUCUGGUGCCAGCAGCCGCGGUAAUUCCAGCUCCAAUAGCGUAUGUUAAACUUGUUGCAGUUAAAAAGCUCGUAGUUGAAUUUCUGCGUCACCGUAUUUUGACUUUUGUCGACUGUCGGUUUCGCUUUUGGGAUUUAUCCCUUUUUACUUUGAGAAAAUUAGAGUGUUUCAAGCAGACUUUUGUCUUGAAUACUUCAGCAUGGAAUAAUAGAGUAGGACUUUGGUUCUAUUUUGUUGGUUUGUGAACCUUAGUAAUGGUUAAUAGGAACGGUUGGGGGCAUUCGUAUUUAACUGUCAGAGGUGAAAUUCUUAGAUUUGUUAAAGACGAACUACUGCGAAAGCAUUUGCCAAGGACGUUUUCAUUAAUCAAGAACGAAAGUUAGGGGAUCGAAGACGAUCAGAUACCGUCGUAGUCCUAACCAUAAACU